UGGGGAAUUUUGGACAAUGGGCGAAAGCCUGAUCCAGCAAUGCCGCGUGUGUGAAGAAGGCCUUCGGGUUGUAAAGCACUUUUGUCCGGAAAGAAAUCCUUGGCUCUAAUACAGUCGGGGGAUGACGGUACCGGAAGAAUAAGCACCGGCUAACUACGUGCCAGCAGCCGCGGUAAGACGAAGGGGGCUAGCGUUGUUCGGAAUUACUGGGCGUAAAGCGAGUGUAGGCGGUUGCCGUAGUCAGGUGUGAAAGCCUUGAGCUCAACUCAAGAAAUGCACUUGAUACUGGGUGACUAGAGGACCGGAGAGGAUAGUGGAAUUCCCAGUGUAGUGGUGAAAUACGUAGAGAUUGGGAAGAACACCAGUGGCGAAGGCGGCUAUCUGGACGGUUACUGACGCUAAGACUCGAAAGCGUGGGGAGCAAACAGGAUUAGAUACCCUGGUAGUCCACGCCGUAAACGAUGGGUGCUAGACGUUGGCGAGCUUGCUCGUCAGUGUCGCAGCUAACGCGUUAAGCACCCCGCCUGGGGAGUACGGCCGCAAGGUUGAAACUUAAAUGAAUUGACGGGGUCAUAGCUG
rnacentral:rRNA from 1 species